rfam:Hordeum vulgare subsp. vulgare, WGS project CAJW01000000 data, contig: morex_contig_51490
UUCAUACUCCCUCCGUCCUAAAAUUCUUGUCUUAGAUUUGUCUAGAAAUAGAUGUAUCUAAAUACUAAAACAUGACUAGAUACAUUCCUAUCUAGACAAAUGUAAGACAUACUAAAACAUGACUAGAUACAUUCCUUUCUAGACAAAUGUAAGACAAGAAUUUNGGGACGGAGGGAGUAUUAA